ACUCCUGCGGGAGGCAGCAGUGGGGAAUAUUGGACAAUGGGCGCAAGCCUGAUCCAGCCAUGCCGCGUGAGUAAUGAAGGCCCUAGGGUUGUAAAGCUCUUUCACCGGUGAAGAUAAUGACGGUAACCGGAGAAGAAGCCCCGGCUAACUUCGUGCCAGCAGCCGCGGUAAUACGAAGGGGGCUAGCGUUGUUCGGAUUUACUGGGCGUAAAGCGCACGUAGGCGGACUAUCAAGUCAGGGGUGAAAUCCCGGGGCUCAACCCCGGAACUGCCUUUGAUACUGGUAGUCUUGAGUUCGAGAGAGGUGAGUGGAAUUCCGAGUGUAGAGGUGAAAUUCGUAGAUAUUCGGAGGAACACCAGUGGCGAAGGCGGCUCACUGGCUCGAUACUGACGCUGAGGUGCGAAAGCGUGGGGAGCAAACAGGAUUAGAAACCCCAGUAGUCCCA
rnacentral:rRNA from 1 species